GAUGAAGAACGUAGCGAAAUGCGAUACGUAAUGUGAAUUGCAGAAUUCAGUGAAUCAUCGAAUCUUUGAACGCAUAUUGCGCUCUCUGGUAUUCCGGAGAGCAUGCUUGUUUGAGUAUCAGUAAACACCUCAACUCCCUUUUCUUUUUUGAAAUGGGAGCUGGACUUGAGUGAUCCCAACACUUUUCUCACUGGAAAGUGGCGGGUCACUUGAAAUGCAGGUGCAGCUGGACUUUUCUCUGAGCUAUAAGCAUAUCUAUUUAGUCUGCCUAAAAAACAGAUUAUUACCUUUGCUGCAGCUAACAUAAAGGAGACUAGUUCUUGUGCUGACUGAUGCAGGAUUCACAGAGACAGCUUCGGCUGACUUUGUAAACUCGAUCUCAAAUCAAGUAAGACUACCCGCUGAACUUAAGCAUAUCAAUAAGCGGAGGA
rnacentral:misc_RNA from 1 species